UACGAAGGGGGCUAGCGUUGUUCGGAAUUACUGGGCGUAAAGGGCGCGUAGGCGGUCUUCUAAGUCUUGUGUGAAAUCCCUCGGCUCAACUGAGGAACUGCACGGGAUACUGGAAGACUUGAGUUCGGGAGAGGGAAGCGGAAUUCCGGGUGUAGCGGUGAAAUGCGUAGAUAUCCGGAGGAACACCGGUGGCGAAGGCGGCUUCCUGGACCGAUUACUGACGCUGAUGCGCGAAAGCUAGGGGAGCAAACGGG
rnacentral:rRNA from 1 species